rnacentral:rRNA from 1 species
GAUGAACGCUGGCGGCGUGCCUAAUACAUGCAAGUCGAGCGAACGGACGAGAAGCUUGCUUCUCUGAUGUUAGCGGCGGACGGGUGAGUAACACGUGGAUAACCUACCUAUAAGACUGGGAUAACUUCGGGAAACCGGAGCUAAUACCGGAUAAUAUUUUGAACCGCAUGGUUCAAAAGUGAAAGACGGUCUUGCUGUCACUUAUAGAUGGAUCCGCGCUGCAUUAGUUAGUUGGUAAGGUAACGGCUUACCAAGGCAACGAUGCAUAGCCGACCUGAGAGGGUGAUCGGCCACACUGGAACUGAGACACGGUCCAGACUCCUACGGGAGGCAGCAGUAGGGAAUCUUCCGCAAUGGGCGAAAGCCUGACGGAGCAACGCCGCGUGAGUGACGAAGGUCUUCGGAUCGUAAAACUCUGUUAUUAGGGAAGAACAUAUGUGUAAGUAACUGUGCACAUCUUGACGGUACCUAAUCAGAAAGCCACGGCUAACUACGUG